GCGGCAGCCUUCAAAAUGGCCACCACCAGUGCAGAGAGCCCUGGAACAGGCCGGAAAUGGCCCAGAGACCAGAGGGAGGCUGGCGGGGGGAGAGGGAACAACCAGAGAUCCACAGCCACAGCAGCACCCUUUGGAGGUGCUCCUUAAAGGGAAGCCAGUUGAGAGUGGCAUGGACCUGGAGGGAAGAAAAGCAUGAUGAGAGAGAAAAAGAGGACGCAAAUGCUAUUAAUCUGACUACAAUCAAUAAAGUAAUUUAAAGGCCAUUUCAGACUUUUUAAUUAGAAGUAUGUGAAACAGGAAAUCAUGGCCAUUGCUCUUUAAUUUUUUUUUAAAUUGGUAUUGUUGUCCACCACCUAGAGUCUUUGGAGGAGGCAGUAUAUAAGAAAAUUUAAAUAAAUAAAUAAAUUUCACUA